GCUAUAACAAAUAUUUAGAAAAGAGUUAAUUACAACCUUACACAAACUCUUUAAGAGAAAGGGAAAUCGUCUCUUAAUGGUUUUGUGAAGUGUGAUAAACUGAAUUCUAAGAUGUCUUCCCAAAGAUCCCAUGCUCCAAUACCAGAAGAGGUGAGAUGUACUUAAGGUUACUCAUUACUUGACCUUAAAAUGGUGACACUAUUUUUAUUAUUAACAUGGGCCCAUAAAAUCACAAGAGCCCUUAAAGUAGAAGAGGAGGUCAGAGGAUGCAGCAGGAGAGGAGGUCAGAUGACAAAGCAGCAGAGGAGGUCAGAGGAUGCAGCAGGAGAGGAGGUCAGAGGAUGCAGCAGCAAAGGAGGUCAGAGGAUGCAGCAGCAGAGGAGGUCAGAGGAUGCAGCAGCAGAGGAGGUCAGAGGAUGCAGCAGCAGAGGUGGUCAGAGGAUGCAGCAGGAGAGGAGGUCAGAGGAUGGUUUGAAGCCCUGGAAGGAUUCAGGGAGCAGCUGCUGGCUUUGAAGAUGGAGGGGCUGUGGGAGAAGCAAGCUGGCAGCCUCCAGACUCUGAGAAUGGCGCCUGGCCCACCCCUACUGCCCAUGAGAAGACAGAGUCUUUAGUCCUACAACUGCCUGAGGAGGAAAUGAAAUGUACAACCACCUGCAUUAGCCUGAGAGUGGAUUCUAUUCCAGAGCCUCCAUAUAUAAGCCCUGGCUGGCUGACACUGAUUUUAGUCCAGUGAGAACCAGCCCAGAGACUCCAGUGUGACAUUCCUGAAUUUAUGACCUGCAGAACUGAGAGACAUUACAUCCGCCUUGUUUUAUUGCUCUGUCUAGGUCUGCCCUUGGACAAAGCCAACUGAAAUUGGGAACUCAAACCUAUAUGGGUUUCUUCUGCAACUCCUCUCUCCAAUCUGCCUGCUUUUGCUUGUUUUUCAGAGUCCUCAGGUAGUUGCUUUUUGUAUUUUAUCCAGAGGUUUUCGUUGUAAUUAGUGGGAACAGAGGCUGUAGUGGUCUUAACUGAUCCCAGUCAGAACUGAAAACCGUUCUGUCUCCUCUUGUUGAAUGCCUGAUAGACCUUUGCAUUCAAUUCUUCAUGCCUUGUCAUUUCUCUUCAAUGUUUCCCAUAUGCUCAUUUUUCUAAGAUGCAAAUUCUGGGGCCAGCCUGGUGGCACAGUGGUUAAAUUUGCCCACUCAGCUUCAGUGGCCUGGAAUUCCCUGGUUUGGAUCCUGGUUGCAGACCUACACACCACUCAUCAGGGCGUGCUGUGGCAGUGUCCCACAUAUAAGCAGAGGAAGAUUGGCAACAGAUGUUGGCUCAGGGCCAGUCUUCCUCACACACACACACAAAAAGUAAAUUGCAAAUCCUAUGAUAAAUACUAUGACUAUCUUUGAACAAUAAUCUUUGUGAUUAUCACUGAUUAAUAUUAUUACAUAAUUCUCAAUUGCUUUCAAAAGUGGUUGGAAAAAAUCAUAUUCCUACCAACAACAUGUAGGAAUGACUCACUAUAUUCUCCCUCACAUUUAUUUUUAUUAUUUAAAAAAUGACGUCUGAUAGUUUUUUAUAUGCACA
ensembl:lncRNA